AUUGAACGCUGGCGGCAUGCUUUACACAUGCAAGUCGAACGGUAACAGGCCGCAAGGUGCUGACGAGUGGCGAACGGGUGAGUAAUGCAUCGGAACGUGCCCAGUCGUGGGGGAUAACUGCUCGAAAGAGCAGCUAAUACCGCAUACGAUCUAUGGAUGAAAGCGGGGGACCGUAAGGCCUCGCGCGAUUGGAGCGGCCGAUGUCAGAUUAGGUAGUUGGUGGGGUAAAGGCUCACCAAGCCAACGAUCUGUAGCUGGUCUGAGAGGACGACCAGGCACAGUGGGAAUGAGAGACGGCCCAGACUUCAUACGGAAGCAGAAGGUGGGAAUUUUUGACAAUGGGGGCAACCCUGAUCCAGCAAUGCCGCGUGCAGGAAGAAGGCCUUCGGGUUGUAAACUGCUUUUGUACGGAACGAAACGGUCUGGGUUAAUACCCUGGGCUAAUGACGGUACCGUAAGAAUAAGCACCGGCUAACUACGUGCCAGCCGCCGCGGUAAAAC
rnacentral:rRNA from 1 species